rnacentral:rRNA from 1 species
CCUACGGGUGGCAGCAGUAGGGAAUAUUGCUCAAUGGGGGAAAGCCUGAAGCAGCAACGCCGCGUGAGGGAUGAAGGUUUUAGGAUUGUAAACCCCUUUUGUGAGAGAAGAAAAGGACGGUAUCUCACGAAUAAUCACUGGACAACUCCGUGACCGCAACCGCGGUAAUACGGAGGGUGCAAGGGUUACUCGGAAUCACUGGGCGUAAAGAGUGCGCAGGUGGGAUUGAAAGUCAGGUGGUAAACGCUGUAGGUUAAACAGAGAACUGCAUGUGAAACUGUAAGUCUAGAGUGUGUGAGAGGUAGGUGGAAUUCUUGGUGUAGCGGUGAAAUCCGUAGAUAUCUGGAGGAAUACUGAUUGCGAAGGCGACCUACUGGCACAUAACUGACGCUGAGGCACGAAAGCGUGGGGAGCAAACAGGAUUAGAUACCCCUGUAGUC